rnacentral:rRNA from 1 species
AUACGUAGGGUGCAAGCGUUAAUCGGAAUUACUGGGCGUAAAGCGUGCGCAGGCGGUUUUGUAAGACAGAGGUGAAAUCCCCGGGCUCAACCUGGGAACUGCCUUUGUGACUGCAAGGCUAGAGUACGGCAGAGGGGGAUGGAAUUCCGCAUGUAGCAGUGAAAUGCGUGGAUAUGCGGAGGAACACCGAUGGCGAAGACAAUCCCCUGGUCCUGUACUGACGCUCAUGCACUAAAGCGUGGGGAGCAAACAUGAUUAGAUACCCUGGUAGUCCACGCCCUAAACGAUGUCAACUGGUUGUUGGGUCUUCAUUGACUCAGUAACGAAGCUAACGCGUGAAGUUGACCGCCUGGGGAGUACGGCCGCAAGGUUGAAACUCAAAGGAAUUGACGUGG